AGGGGCUUAUCAUCCAUCUGUGUUCACAAAGAAUGAAGUGUUCUGUUGUUUAUCCCUGAUGCUGCAACACUGGAACAUUCUUCAUAGCUCUGUAAUCAUGCCAGAUGGUGACAGGGAAAUUGUCAUAGAAACUUGGGACCACAAAUGCAUUGGUAGUUGAGGCUGGGCAACACUGGAGACCCAUUUGGAUGCUUCCAUGGGAGUGGUGUCCUGGAAGAGAGGCAAAGACCACCUUCACCACUGGAGCAAACCAUUGACAGCAGCAUGGAAGCUCUGGCCUCUGAACAUAGGACAAGGCAUUUCCAAGCAUGUUCUGGUAGGAUGUUCACAUCU
rnacentral:lncRNA from 1 species